GACGAACGCUGGCGGCGUGCCUAAUACAUGCAAGUAGAACGCUGAAGGAGGAGCUUGCUUCUCUGGAUGAGUUGCGAACGGGUGAGUAACGCGUAGGUAACCUGCCUGGUAGCGGGGGAUAACUAUUGGAAACGAUAGCUAAUACCGCAUAAGAGUAGAUGUUGCAUGACAUUUGCUUAAAAGGUGCAAUUGCAUCACUACCAGAUGGACCUGCGUUGUAUUAGCUAGUUGGUGGGGUAACGGCUCACCAAGGCGACGAUACAUAGCCGACCUGAGAGGGUGAUCGGCCACACUGGGACUGAGACACGGCCCAGACUCCUACGGGAGGCAGCAGUAGGGAAUCUUCGGCAAUGGACGGAAGUCUGACCGAGCAACGCCGAGUGAGUGAAGAAGGUUUUCGGAUCGUAAAGCUCGGUUGUAAGAGAAGAACGAGUGUGAGAGUGGAAAGUUCACACUGUGACGGUAUCUUACAAGAAAGGGACGGCUAACUACGUG
rnacentral:rRNA from 1 species